GGGUAUGCCCUGAUCCCUGUACAUUAGCAGGUAUCAAUUGAUUGAACAAGUAAAUAACAUAUAACAUGUAACGGACUCGCAGGUCCCAACAUUAAGUGUGUAGACAACACUCAAACAACGUUACAUAGUACUUCUAUAUGGCAUUUGGUCACGUUUAACACGUUAAGACAUACAUAUGAGUGAUCGGAUUGCGGCUUGAGUAGAGGGAUAUUCAUAAGUUUGUACCUUGCGUCUGUUUUAUGUGAUCCUCUAGUAUUUCCUUAUCACCC